GACGAACGCUGGCGGCGUGCUUAACACAUGCAAGUCGAACGAGUGGCGAACGGGUGAGUAAUACGUGAGUAACCUGCCCUCUUUUUGGGAUAAGCCUUGGAAACGGGGUCUAAUCCCGGAUAAAGGGGGAUGGGCUCGGGGCCUGUCAGCUUGUUGGUGGGGUGAUGGCCUACCAAGGCGGUGACGGGUGGCCGGCCUGAGAGGGUGACCGGGCACAUUGGGACUGAGAUCAGGCCCAGACGCCUACGGGGGGCAGCAGUGGGGGAUAUUGCACAAUGUGGGAGAGACUGAUGCAGCGACGCCGCAUAGGGGAUGAGGGCGUUCGAGUUGUAAACCUCGUUCGCAAUGGAACGGGUAGUUGGAGAAGAAGCGCCGGCUAACUACGUGCCAGCAGCCGCGGUAAUAC
rnacentral:rRNA from 1 species